rnacentral:tRNA from 1 species
UGGCUCACUGGGCCGGACGCCGGCCGCUGUCCCCGAGCGGUGGCCGGCGUCGCAGCGCAGUCGCCGCCGCGCGGUGCGGUGGUGGCCCGG